rnacentral:rRNA from 1 species
CCUACGGGAGGCUGCAGUGGGGAAUAUUGCACAAUGGGGGAAACCCUGAUGCAGCGACGCCGCGUGAGUGAAGAAGUAAUUCGUUACGUAAAGCUCUAUCAGCAGGGAAGAAACACUGACCUUACGGUCAGCAGACGGUACCUGAGUAAGAAGCCCCGGCUAACUACGUGCCAGCAGCCGCGGGAAUACGUAGGGGGCAAGCGUUAUCCGGAUUUACGGGGGGUAAAGGGGGCGUAGAGGGUGCGCGAAGUCUGAAGGGAAAUGCCGCAGCUUAACUGCGGAACUGCUCUGGAAACUGGUGAACUAGAGGGCGGGCGGGGGAAGCGGAAUUCCUAGUGUAGCGGUGAAAUGCGUAGAUAUUAGGCGGAACACCGGUGGCGAAGGCGGCUUACUGGACCGUAACUGACGU